rnacentral:pre_miRNA from 1 species
UAAAUACUCACUCCGUCCAAAAUUACUUAUCAUAGAAUUGGAUGUAUAUAGAUAUAUUGUAGUUUUAGAUACAUUCAUUUCUUUUCAUUUUGAUAACAAGUAAUUCUGAUCGAAGAAAGUAUAAG